rnacentral:sRNA from 1 species
UCCAACAGAGCUCGAGCAACCACAGUGUUGCCA